rnacentral:rRNA from 1 species
CCUACGGGAGGCAGCAGUGGGGGAUAUUGCACAAUGGGGGGAACCCUGAUGUAGCGACGCCGCGUGGGUGAAGGAGUGCUUCGGCAUGUAAAGCCCUAUCGGCAGGGAAGAAGCAAGACGGUACCUUACUACGAAGCCCCCGCUAAUUACGUGCCAGCAGCCUCGGUAAUACGUAGGGGGCGAGCGUUAUCCGGAUUCACUGGUUGUAAGGGGAGCGUAGACGGCCAAGCAAGCCAGGGGUGAAAGCCCGGGGCCCAACCCCGGGACUGCCCUUUGAACUGCAUGGCUGGAGUGCGGGAGGGGCAGGCGGAAUUCGUGGUGUAGCGGUGAAAUGCGUAGAUAUCAGGAGGAACACCGGCGGCGAAGGCGGCCUGCUGGACCGCGACUGACGUUGAGGCUCGAAAGCGGGGGGAGCGAACAGGAUUAGAUACCCCAGUAGUC